UCUCCAGACUCCUACGGGAGGCAGCAGUGAGGAAUAUUGGUCAAUGGGCGGGAGCCUGAACCAGCCAAGCCGCGUGAAGGAAGAAGGCGCCAAGCGUCGUAAACUUCUUUUGUCGGGGAACAAAGGGCGCCACGUGUGGCGUUGUGAGUGUACCCGAAGAAAAAGCAUCGGCUAACUCCGUGCCAGCAGCCGCGGUAAUACGGAGGAUGCGAGCGUUAUCCGGAUUUAUUGGGUUUAAAGGGUGCGUAGGCGGACAGUCAAGUCAGCGGUAAAAAUGCGGUGCUCAACGCCGUACAGCCGUUGAAACUGGCAGUCUUGAGUGGGCGAGAAGUAUGCGGAAUGCGUGGUGUAGCGGUGAAAUGCAUAGAUAUCACGCAGAACUCCGAUUGCGAAGGCAGCAUACCGGCGCCCGACUGACGCUGAGGCACGAAAGCGUGGGUAUCGAACAGGAUUAGAUACCCGCGUACA
rnacentral:rRNA from 1 species